GCCAGACUCCUACGGGAGGCAGCAGUGAGGAAUAUUGGUCAAUGGGCGGAAGCCUGAACCAGCCAAGUCGCGUGAGGGAAUAAGGCCCUACGGGUCGUAAACCUCUUUUGCCGGGGAGCAAGGGCGGGCACGUGUCCCGGCCCGGAGAGUACCCGGAGAAAAAGCAUCGGCUAACUCCGUGCCAGCAGCCGCGGUAAUACGGAGGACGCGAGCGUUAUCCGGAUUUAUUGGGUUUAAAGGGUGCGUAGGCGGGCUUUUAAGUCAGGGGGAAAAAUUGGGGGCUCAACCCCGUCCGGGCGUUGAAACUGGGGGCCUUGAGUGGGCGAGAAGGAGGCGGAAUGCGUGGGGUAGCGGGGAAAUG
rnacentral:rRNA from 1 species